rnacentral:lncRNA from 1 species
GAUAACAAAUUUGUUUAAUUGGUACUUGAUGUGACAAAACGAAUACCUGGGCGAGGGCCAAGAAGACAAGACACGCAACGCCAACUUACAUAUUCCUUUUUUUUCGAAACGGGACUUACAGAUUCCUUACUCACCUGGUUUCUCAUGGCUUCAGCAGCACAUACUAAGAAGACUAGGCCCGUAAAGGUUCCUUUUACCUGGUUUUUUUUUAAUAUAUUUUACCAGUAUUGAUUGAGUGACGCGUGUGCACGAUGGCUUCCUAGAGUUUGAUGGAUCUCAUUUUUUGCUUGGUCGAGUCAUGGAGCAUGUUUGGUUUGGUGUUGCCGUUGCCACAUUAUGAGCUCUUGUUUAUCGACGGAUGUGUGCUGCACUCUCCGGGAAGGUUCUUCCAUUCUUUAAAAAACUUUGGUUCACUGUGUGGUUUGCACUUUUGAUUUCACGUGUCCAGUCUAGAGGUGUGUGGAUUGCUCUUGUUCCACGUGCCAUUGCUUGAUCCAUGCAUGUGGCCACGUCUGCCCAUGGGUCAUUGACUGCUUAUUUCCAUGAUGGACACGUAUAGGUCAAUGAGAUUAUGGGGUAAGCUGUUUGGACAUAUGUUGUGUUUUUCUCUAGACCGGCUAGAUAUUUCGCCUGGUCUCUGGAAGGAUCCCGUGCAAUCCCGUUCCACUGCUUGGUCGUUGUUUGGCCCUAUAAAACUGCGUCACUCCGUGUGCAUCUUCCAUCUCGGAUGCGCCAUCAUCCCUGCUCCUUCACUCCCGACACCCCUUCCGUCGAACACAAUGUGAGCUCUGCCCUGUUGGUGUCUGAUGAAGCGCUGUCAUAGGCCGCUCGCAGGUCACGGGCCCGCGCGACUCCGCAGCGUCGUGAUCCUCCAGCGCGGGCGUGCCGCCGCCAUCAAGACGAACUGGCGCCGCCUUCGGUCGCUGGUGCGUUCCCUCGCUAAUAAGGUCGAUGGCUCCCUCCCCCGCACAGCUUCUUUCCUACUCAUCUUUCAAUUUUUCUCUACCCUUGCAAUCACCGCAGGUAGCGGCAGCAUGUACGCAUUAGGAGUGGGUGCCUCUCCUUUCGUGCUCUUGCUAGAUCCUCCCAGCAGCAAGUCACCCUCUCUACCACGCCCUUUUCCUGCGGACUACGGGAGUCAAAUGCUAGCUGGCCCUUGAUCUGAAUGAACAGACCUACAACCGGUGCUUGAUACGGAAGCAUGAAUAGUGCAAGAGCUAGCAAAGUCACCGAUCGCCGUACAGAAUGCCAACGUGGGAAGGUGGAAGCACAAAUAGAAGCAGUGUGAAGCUGCUAUUUUUUCCUCGCCGGCUACAAAUCAAGCGUCUUGGUCAGCGAUGUGUUACGUACGUUAUUUCUCCAGCACAAGUUCUCCCAGUCAACACAGGUUUGGCGACACCCCCCUUUCGUUGUCCUCUCGACGGCGGGAUUACUUCCGUCUCUGGUGCAGCGGCGGCGUUCGGUGAUUGUUUCUCGCCUUCAGACGAUAAGUCCUCAAAGCACAAGACUCUCUUUAGCUUACUGAAAACUACUUACUGAGAACUUUCUUACGCACAAAACUUCUUGCGGAUAUGUAAACAUGAACUGAUAGGACAGCUUCAUAAUCUUGCAGUCUUUUAACUUAGGACCUGCUAUUUGUCUCGCCUCAUUCAUCUGCAUGCGAGUCCUCUUGAGAGUCAAUUAAUGACUGCUUAUGCUUUGAUUUGAUUCCCGCUGACUAAUGGUUUCUUGACCUGUGUUUCUUUUCUCAUAUUGGCUGGUUGCAUGACAAUUGGUGUUAGUGACUUCCUUUCGUUUAAGUUUGAUUUAGUAUUUGUAGGGAUGCAUCUGUAUGACGAUUCUCAUCAUUAAUUGGUGGGUUGGUUUAGCAAAAAAAAUGACAAGUGUGCAUGCAACAAUGGGUGGACUAUGCAGAAUUUCUUCUAUAUUUUAUUUAUGGCCAAUGAGGACUGGUGACGGUUGCUACUGAUCCGGGUGUUGACAACACUCAUGCAUGGUUGUGGUUGUGUGGUAUGCAGUAUAUGUGUAUUCUCGGUCUAUGUAAGCAGUUGCAUGUUGAACACUUGGUAUGUGUAUUCGGAGCAGCUAAUUUCUGAAUGUAAAAGAAUACAACGUCAUUUUUUCUAAGAGUAAGGCCCGGUUUGAAAUCUCUCCACUCCAUUCUCUGCGGAGCCGCAGAGCUCGGUUUGAGCUGCUCCAUAAAAAGCUGCAACAGCCUGCUCCGCUCCGGGAUCUGAGUCGCGGGAGCGGAGAGAAACCGAACAUGCACUAAAUCAAUACUUUUGCGAAGGUCCUAUUUUUUCAUUGGUUUAUUGCUAUUGCUCCUUACAAACCUACUGUCCGAAGAGAGUAGAGUUAAUAGUCUUGGACUAAUAAUUGAUGAAAUCCCAGCACGUAUAUUGAUGGGUGAUAUAUAUAGCAGAUCUCAGUUAAUUGCAUGUUACGUGAACAAUGACUGCUUGCAUGGUUUGAAAAAGUGUUUUGUUUUUAUUGAGUGGCUAUACAUGCAUGUAGUUAGGGGUGGGCAUACUAACCUAGCACACAACUACCGAACAGAAAAAACCGGGACCGAAUCCGAAAAGACCGAAGCCGAAAAUUCCAAUUCUUAGUUCGGUCUGCACUUUGUAAGAACCAAAAUUAAUUUAGGAAUUCGGGUCUUGUACUUUAGUUAACCGAAGUAAUCGACCACACCGAUUAGAUGCACAUGGACAAAUGCCUGCGUAAAAGCCCGGCCCACGCACAACCCAACAUCUCAAGUCUUCGCUCAUGUAUAUGCCCUUCUUUCUUCACAGUACGUAGCCUCCAGCAAUCCCCUCCUACCCUAGCCACCACUCCCGAUCGAUUCCUCACUCCUUAUCCUAGGCGCCUCGAUUCCUCACUCCUUAUCCUAGGCGCCAGCGCGCCGCCUCUCCAUCUCCCCUCUCCGCACCCCAACCGGCGACGAUGGUGUAAUUGGCUUAUAAGUGUGUUGGCUUACUAUGGGGGAUGGGUUAUGCAUUGCCAAGUUACCAACAAACCCUACUUAUAGUCAUCAAUCUAUGUUUGCAUGUACACCUGUAGGCAAGAAUCGCAUUCCUGAAGACACCAACAAAUGGAUAACCAACACAUGAGCCUUUUCUCAAUAUUGUAUAUACAAAACUUCACUGAAACAUGCAAAUAAAGCGCGGUGCACAGUUCUCUACCACUGUAUCAAAGAAACAAACUUAGCCGAGGAUCUCAAAUCUAAGUGGAAAGUAGAAACGUUGCACUCUGCCUGUGUUGACUCAAUGAACCUUAUCUAUGUGUGAAUGACUAUGUUAUCAACCAAGUACUAAACAAAGUUUUAAGAACUUCAAAAGAAAAAUCGUCGCACAACAAUCAGUAUGGCGCGGCUGUUGGAAUUUUGAUCUCAGGUCAUAACUGACCGAAAGAAAAAGAGGGACCCUUUUUACCCCACGUAUGUGCCAUGAUCGGACGCACCAAAUCCAGCUGUUGGUUUCGGUCCCUGAUCCCUUUAGCGCCACCUAUAUAAUGAGCAGGAUGUACCCCUUCAAAAUAGAAACACACACACAUGUCCGGGUCAAUACAACUUGCUAACAACCGAUCCUUAAAAGAAGGCGCUCAAGGUGAUCAGAAGACCGACUACCACCGCCGGCCACCGCAAGGUCAGUGCCGGCGGCCAGUCCUACUGCGGCGCUCCUGCUGCUUGCUUUGAGGUCCUGUUCCUGCACUUCUUCUCCAACCAUCUUCAUGUUUCGAGGCAAGGUGUAGCCAUAGGCUACAUGAGGAGUGCAUCAAGCAGGAACAAGGCUUCCGUCAGAACCUGUAAGAAAUCACGAACCCUUUUCUAUUAAUCUGUAUUAGAUGGUCUAAUGCUAGGCUUAAGAUCCUCUCACGUUUAUCCCUAAAGUUUGUUUCCAACAAUGGUAUCAUGAGCUAGUUAAGCCUAUAUUAGAUCCUAAUGACAUUCUAUUGAUGAUAACGACCAUGUUCGGUAAGACCAAUUAAGCUAUGCUUCCGCAUAAAGUCCUUUUAAUCAGCACUGAUUAAGCAAUUAGAAGGAGGGGAGUCAAAUGUUUAAAGGAACCGCAAAAUUUUGCCAAUUAGCUGGAAGCCCAAUCCUAGAUUUUUUUUCCCCAAUUGGAAAAACCAAAGAGAUCAAAUCCCAAAUCUCAGACCAGAUCGAAAAUUUGUAGAAAAGAUGGGCUGGGACUUACGUUAUUGAUGACAGCAGCCAUGCGUGCUCGCCAUGGCCGCCUCCAUGCGUGCUCAUCUUGGCCGAAACACGCCAUCUCUCGGGACGGCAUGCAAAAAGAGACGAGGGAGCCGGCGCCGCAUCCUACGGACACGCACGCUGAGUGGCCUCCGCGCCGCACACGUCGUCGUCAAACCCUCAAGCACAGGCGUCGGCGUUCGGCCCUCCAAUGUUAUAAGAGGAUAUUAAUAUUGAGCACAAUUAUGAAUCGCUCAUUGAAUUUUCUAAAUAUUUUAUUUGUAAAAUUUGAUUGAGUGUGAAUUUAAUGUUGAUGCCACACUUACGACAUUUCUUAAAGAUGUGGUCAUUUCUAAUGGGCUCAGGCCACCUCAAGGAAAAUGAUGAUGGACGCGUGGUUUGUUUUUUCCCACCGCACUAUGUGUCAUAAUAAUGUUGGGGCAAUAUGCCUAUUGGGCAAAAUGAAAGUUGUUGGUUGGUGCAAUUCAUGUCAUUUUUAUUAUGAUGUGCACCUCUCAAAUAUUCAUAACGGUCCAAAAUGAUGUUAAUGGGUUAUGAUCAAUUCUCUCAAUGAAGAAACUUUGUUCAGUUUUUUUUCAAGGUCGUUUAUUUGACAAUUAUUAAUUUUCCCAAUAUCAUAAUUUGGAGAAUCUUGAUAUCUAAAUUUUAUAAUUUUGGAAAUUCUUAUGAUGAUUUAUAUUUAUGACAUUUUCACUCUGAAUGUCCUCUUUAAUGAUUACUCAGUGGGUGUGAGAUUUAUAUUUUUAUGUUAAUUCCAAUAUCAUUUUCAUUGUAUGACACUGAGAAUUCUAAUGAUAAUUUUGACACUUAGGUUCAAUAUUUAUAUUAUCGUUGUGAGAUUUAGUGUCAAAAGGCAUCACUCAUGGCACAAAUGAUUAUAUUAUGAUGUUGCUUUAUGUUAAUGAUGGCAAUUAAUUUAGUCAUAGUUCUUGCUGGUCAUUACGAGAUUUUACAUCUCUCUAGUCAAAAUGGAACCAACGAGAAGUUUUGAUUAGAGAUUUAAUGAGCAAAUGUUCUAAUGGCAUAUGAUGAUAUUCUGACCAACAUUGAUUAUGUUUUUCAUGUGUCAUUUACGAAUGAGUAAGGUUCUUUUUCGUUAUCUGCCCAACGGUGAUACGGAUUAGAAUAAACAUUAAGCAAGUUUUUAUUCAUGGCAUUGCAUGGUUAGUUCAUGCUUGAUUUUUUUUUUGUUAUAAUGAUCAUAAAGUUGUCUCCUCUUUCCAGCAAUAAUAAUGAUGUCAAACUUUUGUUUGGCAUAGAAGAACCUUAUGUAAAUAUCUUUCCCACAUGGAGAGUGGAGAUCAUUGUAUCAUGUAAGGAAUCUCCCAAUGUUUUUCUGCCAAUAAGGCUGAAGGAUUUUUAAUCAUGAUGAUAAGGCAGACAUUGGGAGAGGACGCAUGUGCCAUCAUACACAUCACUAAUGCAAAGGAGAUUAAAGUCAAAACUAUUAUUGGAUUUAUUCCACUAGCUUUUGGAGAUGACUUAAUUCUUCAUCUUAUUGAUGAUGUUUUGGUUCAUGCUCCUAGUUAUUGGAAAACUUUAAUUUCAUCUCUCGAAUAGAUGACGUGAUUUUAUAUGUUAUUACGUCAACUCAAAUUAUGUAAUGUUAGUCCCACCUUAUGGUGAGACGAGUUAUGUUUUUCACUAAAUGAACCUUUUGUAAAGAUUAUAUGCUAUGUUACUAUUGAAUAUGUCACGGAAGUGUGAUUAAUGAGACCUCAUCAAAAUUGUGGUUUUAGACCACAUUUCGAGGGGGAGAAUGGAAGUCUCAUUUAAUAUGAGAUAUCGUGUUCACUUCUCCUACUUAAUUAGAUCAUAACAUGUACAAUUAAGCAAACUAUGUAUCUCAAUUCUCCAAGUAAGAUGGAACCAACGAGAAGUCUUGGUUGGAGAAUGUAUGAAAAGCACAUUCUAAUGUUGGUUCUCUAAUUAGGACGCAACAAGUCUUAUUUAGAAGAAUCCAUGAAAAAUGACUCUUUUAUCAUGUUAGUGUGCACUUAGUCCCUUAUGAGCAUUACGAAACACACAUGAAUGCUAAAGUGGCAAGCUUGCUAGUCUAAUGACCAUCAUGAUGUAACAUGUUGAUUAUAUAUGCAACUUCGUUUAUAAUCAUAUGUGACACUUUACUUAAGUGGCAAGUUUUGUCAGUAUCAUGUGGCUUGUGGUUAUAUUCCUGACUAACGUCGUGUAUAAUCAUUUGUCAUAGUUCAUUAAGUUCUUUUCCACCUUCAGCCCAACGGUGUUGUGGUUUAGAGCUGAGAUGAUUGUUAUCAAGAUUUUUGGAUAUAUUUUCCAUCUUCUAAAUAAAGUGAUCAUCGGGGAACCUGGAGCUUAUGAGCAUUAAUCCUAAGGAUAACUCCAUUAGAUCUUUGUUCAUAUGCAUCAGGUAAAUUGAGGGGAAUUCUUUUUUCUCUAAUGCAACACUUAUUGUUGAGACUCAACAAUUUCUCUAUGAUCAAUAAGUGUGUGAAUGUUCAUCUUAGUGGCCUUUUGCCAUAUAGGAUGAAGAUUAUGAACUCUAAUGAUGUAUGGAACUCCAUAGAAUUUCCUCAGUGAGUUGUUGUUACGUUUGUGUUAUUACUAUGACAUGCUCUUGUGUUGACUUAGUGAUAAUGUAUGUAUGACUCAACUGUACGGUUUUGUCAUGGGUGAAGUUGACAUAAGGCAUGUUAUCUAAAGAAAUACAAUUAUGUGAUAAUACAAGCGUUGGGACACUCAUACUAUAAGACGAGGGGGAGUAAGAUCACUAACUUGUGGAGAUAUAAUAUUUUGGCGAGCCAAGUAAUUUCUAUCUUCUAUUUGUAACAUGAAGGAUCUUGGUGAUGCCUCAUACUUUGCUUGUAUUGAGUUUCGCCAAGAUAUAGGUCCAAAAGGAGUAUAAGUUUUAUGAUGAUGACAUACGUUGAUAGAGUACGGAAGAAAAUAUUACGUGGUAGUACUCUAUCGCACCUGCUACUAAAGUCAAGGGCAAUAAAGGUGGACAAUUUAGUGUCCAAGGAACCAUUAUGAACUGAUCAGGUAAUGUUAGUUCCUUAUGCUUCAGCUGUCUGAAGCAAUGUAAGUUUUCAAUUAUGAACUUGUCCUAUUUAUGAUCGGAAUAAUUGGCAAAUAGACAAGUCCGGAAAUGGACCACUCGAGAAGCCGCGAAAAAUCUUGUAGAUAUGCAAGGCAAUAAAGGUUUACAUGCUCACUAAUAAGAAGUCUGAUAACCUCGAUAUCCUCGAUUAUUCAGACAUUGUUUCUGCGAGAUGUGUGGAUAUUAAAGUUUCCACAUUGUGUUACAUGCUCACUCUCGCAUAUGGAGCUAUAUCGUGGAAGACCUCCAUAAUGACAUUGAUGGCAUUAGAAAUAAUGCAAUUUAUGAUGGGGUAUGUUAAGAGGCUUUUGGGCAGGUUGUAUGUCAAAGAUGUUCUAUUCCCGAAAUUAAGGUGGUAGACAACAUUUAUAAAACUCACCUACUGCAUUAUGAACACGCAGUUUUCUAUGCGAGUAACAACAAGUCAAAUGGUGUUGCCAAAACUAUUGACAAUAUGUUUCAUGUUGUGAAAGAUAGAACCCAAGAUCAAGCUAAUGAUGUUAAUCAUAUAAAAAUGAAUCGUAUGUAUUAUGGAUCCGUUUAUUAAAGGCUCAUCACCCAUAUUUAUGAUUAUGUUGCCGGCAUGGGUUAGGAAGGCCUUUUGAUCCUGGAAUUAGGACCAUCAAAUAAACCAACUCCCAUAAAGUAAUAUGUUAUCAAUUCGAGAUAAAAUGUUGUACUAUAAGUAUUGAGGUUCAAUGGCACUUCAUUGGCCAUUGCAACACCUUACUUUCGUAUAUUGAUUUUAUUAAGAGUGGGCUUAUGAUGUUUUUUGACCUUACGAUCAAGGGGGAGAAUGUUGGAAUUUUGAUCUCAGGUCAUAACUGACCGAGAGAAAAAGGGGGACCCUUUUUACCCCAUGUAUGUGCCAUGAUCGGAGGCACCAAAUCCAGCUGUUGGUUUCGGUCCCUGAUCCCUUUAGCGCCACCUAUAUAAUGAGCAGGAUGUAGCCCUUCAAAAUAGAAAAACACACACAUGUCCGGGUCAUACAACUUGCUAACAACCGAUCCUUAAAAGAAGGCGCUCAAGGUGAUCAGAAGACCGACUACCACCGCCGGCCACCGCAAGGUCAGUGCCGACGGCCAGUCCUACUGCGGCGCUUCUGCUGCUUGCUUUGAGGUCCUGUUCCACUACUAGGGAAAAGCCUAGCAGCAGCGCGGGUUUUGGCCCUCUCAGUAGCGCGGGUACCGGCGCUACUAAUAAGGCGCUACAGCUAAUGUAUAGCAGUAGCGCGUGUUGACCCACGCUACUGCUACACAUGAAUAGCUGCAGCGCUCUUUAGGAUAGGACGCUACUGAUAUUAUCUGCAGCGCCGUUUACAGGGAAGCGCUACUGAUAAGUCGGCGCUACUGCUAAAUCCCCCCUCGCUACUACUAGUUUUAUUAGUUCUUUUCCCUGCAUAUUUGUUUUUUAUUUAUUUUGCAUUUGAAUAGGCUUUAUACAAUAAUCUUUAGCAUAUCAUCCACAUACAAAUAUAAUCAUAGCAUAUACAUACAAUUAGUCUCAUCAAAUCAUGUCAUCAUCAUAAUCAUCAUCCAACACAAAGUGGUCUCUCGUCAUCAAUCUCGAAAAUAGCGAUACAAGUCUCGAUUACUUGCAAAUACAUCGUCAUCCAUCUAAACAAUGAUAUACACGAGAAUAGCUAUCACUUUGAGUACAUGAGUUCGUAUCCCUCUCUCGCAUUAGCGUGAACCUAAACUAAGUACUGCGUGUCGCUCGGAAACCAAAAACCGGUACACCUGGGCCUGACACUCCGGCCACUUGUCGUAUAUAUACUCCUGGCGUAGCACUUCUUCGCCAUUUAUGAUCUAUGCACCUGCGCGGUCGGCCGCAGCGGGAGCAGCAGACGGCGCGGAGUCCGGAGAGGAUCGGCCUGACAGAUCUCCAGGCGGCGAUCCCGAGGCAGAUUCGGCUGCUAGGUCUGCGGGAACAAAUCCCGAGGGAGAUUUGCUCCCCUGAUCCUGGCACAUGAAAUAUGGCCGUGUUGGGCAGAUUUCUUCACUAUUUUCAGCUCCGUUUUUUUCAGCAUCGCUUCCUGCAUCAUUAUACAACUCAGGCAAAGUGGUGAGAGAGUUAGUCAUAGUAGGAUCAUUAGAGCUAUACUCCCCUGGAUUGAGGCCGGUGAGGGUAGGAGGAGGAAGUAGAAUUUCUUUCCGAAGUAAAGCACCGACAUUUGGAUGUAGAUCAGCAAAGGGGAAUUUUGUUUCGUCGAAUACAACAUCACAAGAUAUGUAUACUCGGUCGGUAGACACGUCUAGACACUUGACCCCCUUGUGUUGAUUGCUAUAUCCAAGAAAAACAUAUUGUUUGGACCGAAACAUUAAUUUGCGAGAGUUGUAUGGUCGGAGAUUGGGCCAACAGGCGCAUCCAAACACACGAAGUGAUGUAUAGUUGGGUUUGAUCUGGAGAAGCCGUUCAGUAGGUGUUUCAUUAUUGAUCACUCGACUAGGAAGCGUGUUGAUGAUGUGAACAGCCGUGAGGAAAGCUUCGUCCCAAAAUUUUAGGGGCAUGGAAGCACCGGCAAGGAGGGCCAAACCGACCUCUACUAUGUGCCUAUGCUUGCGCUCGGCAGAGCCGUUUUGUUGGUGAGCGUGAGGACAUGAUACAUGGUGAGAUAUGCCAAGGGUUUGAAAGAAGGAAUUAAGCUUCUCGUAUUCCCCCCCCCNNNNNNNNNNNNNNNNNNNNNNNNNNNNNNNNNNNNNNNNNNNNNNNNNNNNNNNNNNNNNNNNNNNNNNNNNNNNNNNNNNNNNNNNNNNNNNNNNNNNNNNNNNNNNNNNNNNNNNNNNNNNNNNNNNNNNNNNNNNNNNNNNNNNNNNNNCCCCCCAGUCGGAUUGGACAGCAACAAUUUUGCUAUCAAACUUACGUUCUACAAGUGCUUGAAAAAUUUUGAACACUUGAAAAACGUCAGAUCUUUUCUUGAGGAGAUAAAUCCAAGAAAAUUUGCUAUAGUCAUCAAUGAAGCUAACAUAAUAUGUGUGUCUACCCACUAAGGCGGGGGCAGGCCCCCAAACAUCAGAGAAAAUAAUUGCAAAGGUUGAGUAGAAACACUGGUAGAUAUGGGAUAAGGUAAUUGAUGACAUUUUGCUCUUUGGCAAGAAUCACAGAUAGUUUCACUAUGUCGCUCACCAACAAACGGGAGCUUAUUUUUCCUAAGCAAGCGUUCAACUAAAGAAAAAGAUGCAUGCCCUAAACGAUCGUGCCAUCGUGUGGAGGAAAGCUUGAUAGCACCACAAGCUUGUUUAUUUAAUCUUCUAAACUCCGGAAUCAACGGGUAAAGCCCUCGAACACAUCUACCGCGGUAGAGUACCUUCCUCGUGGCCUGAUCCUUGAUCAAAAAGAAGAAAUGAUGAAAUUCAAUGAACACAUGAUUAUCAAUAGUGAUACGAUGAACGGAGAGAAGAUUUUUGUUGGCACUAGGAACAUGCAGGAUUUUUCUAAGGUGAAUUUUGCGGGAAGGGGUGCGUAUAACAGAAUGACCUAUAUGACUUAUCCUCAUACCUGCACCACUUGCCGUGUGUAUCUGAUCCUUCCCAUGGUAUUUCUCACGGAGGGUUACCUUCUCGAGUUCGCCCGUGAGGUGGUUUGUGGCACCACUGUCGAGAUACCAGUUGGUAUCCACACCAUAGGACCCGUCGGCGGCGGCAGCAACUUUGUCUUCUUCAUCCGAGGAAGCUUCAUCUUCAUCAAAGCGAUACCAGCAAUCCUUGGCUGAGUGGCCAAGCUUGCCGCAGAUUUGACAGCGUACAGCAUCAGGUCGUGACCGUCCCGAGCCGCCACUGCCGCCGCCGCCCCCACCACGGCGACCCUUGUUGUUGUUGAAGUUAGGGCGUCCGCCACGGGAGCCGGAGGUGCUGGAGCCACCACCACCUUGCUUGCCCUUGUGUCGAGGAGGACCACGGGAACGGGAUGAGUACUCGCCACGCCCGCGGGUGGCCGCGUUUGCCGAAGACUUGAAGCCGCCGCCGGUGCUAUGGAACUGCGCGACGCGCUGAUCAAAAUUGCUCAGCAUGGCGUACAGCUCAUCGAGGGAGACCGGCGUGACACGGGCGUCGAGAGCAGAGACAAGGGGCUGGUAGUCCAUGUCCAGCCCGUGCAGCAGAUAGGAGAUCAGCUCAUCAUCUUGGAUGGGCUUGCCGGCCGCGGUGAGUUCAUCGGCCAGUCCGCGCAUAGAAGCAUAGUACGCAGCAACAGAUUGGUUGCCCUUCUGUGCAUUGAUCAAAGCAAUGUGAAUGUUGUUAACACGACUCAGAGAUUGAGAGGAAAACAUGCCUGCGAGCGCCGCCCAGAGAGCGUGCGCGAUGGUGAUCGCGGUCACCGUGAUCAGCACUUCCUUGGAGAGGUUGCUGAGGAGGUAGCCGAGCACUUGUUGGUCCUCCCUCACCCAAAUGGGAUGGAGAGGGUUCAGCUUGGUCGUCUCCUUGCCUUCCUUGUCCUUGGUGACGAGGAGGCGGGCGGGCUCCGGCAUGGUUCCAUCGACAUACCCGAAGAGCCCGGCUCCCCUUAGGUGCGGCGUAACUUGCGUUCGCCACAGGACGUAGUUCGUCCGGGAGAGCUUCUCCGUGACUUGGCCGCUGAGAUUGGAUUGAGCGGCGCUGGAGGAAGACAUGGCUUGGCACUAGAUGGCAGCUAGGGUUUUGGAAGAGGAGGCUCUGAUUACCAUGUGCGAAUAGGCGAAAGCGUCUUACCCUCGGUGUGAGGGGGCGCGUUGCAUGUUAUAGGCGCAGGGGCGCACCUCCCUGACAAGAUAGCGCAUACAAGUUUGUUGGAGAAGAUUACAACUUGAAGAGGAAGAGAUAGAGAGAUAAGAGGUUUACAAGAUAUUAAACUACUUGUCUAACAACCUAGUCUAUCUCCUAGACAACUCCUUAUGCGCCAAGUCUUGGACUCCAACGUGACAUCAACAUGUGUUUGACAGAUCGGUCGUUCGCUGUCAAUUAAUUGUCGAUGGAUUCCUUCGUACCAAUUGCAUUUUUGUUCGUCUACUUCUUAUUUGUUCCGAGAUUUGCGAGAUUUUCCUCCCGUCCAACGAAAUUAUGACAAGAUGACUAGUACAUGAGAAUGGAAAUACCAGUCCAGAAAUGUGCAAAUAAAGAAUAUGUCAUUGUCAAAUCAGCAGUGCAUAUAUGACAAAACGAAUACUUGGGCGAGGGCCAAGAAGACAAGACACCCAACGCCAACUUACAGAUUCCUUAUUACAGAGCGGAAAGAUGCUUUCCUCACCUGGUUUCUCAUGGCUCCAGCAGCACACAUACUUAAACAGAUCACUUGUACUUGUACAUGUCAAAGCACCAGGAGAUACAAACAACUUGCUCACUGCAAUUCUUCUACAAACCAAGGAAGGAAAAUAUCACACUCACACACACAAACCCCUUUACUUCAGCAACAAAGCGAUGUGCUUUCUCAUUCAGAGCCAGCGGCCCGG